AUCCUAGAGAAUGUUCCAUGUGCACUUGAAAAGAAUGUCUAGUCUGGAGUUCCUGUUGCAGCGCAGCAGAAACAAAUCUGACUAGUAUCCAUGAAGAUGUUAGUUUGAUCCCUGGACUCGCUCAGUGAGUCAGGGAUCCCGUGUUGCCGUGAGCUGUGAUGUAGUUCGCAGAUGAGGCUCGGGGCCUGUGUUGCUAUAGCUGUGGCGUAGUUUGGCAGCUGUAGCUCCAAUUCAACCCCUAGCCUGGGAACUUCCAUAUGCCGUGGGUGUGGCCCUAAAAAAAAAAAAGAAUGUAUAUUUUGUUUUGUUUUUUUCUUUUUGGAUGUAAUGUCUUGAAAAUAUCAAUGAAGUCUAACAUCUAUGGUGUCAUUUAGGAUCUCCAUUGCCUUAGUGACUUCCUGCCUAGAGGAUCUGUCCAUUGCUGUGAGUGGAGUGUUAAAGUUUCCUACUAUUUUAUUCCCAUCAAUUUCUCCUUUUAUGGCUGAUAGUACUUGUUGUAUGUAUUUGGGUGCUCCUACAUUAGGGGCAUAUAUAUUGAUGAGCGGAAUAUCCUUGAAUUGAUCCUUUUAUCAUGAAAUAGUGUCCUUCUUUAUCUUUCUUUAUGGCCUUUGUUUUUAAGUCUAUUUUGUCCGAUAUGACUGUGUGUGACAAGAACACAAAAUUGUCAAACCACACUAGCCAAGAAGGAAAAUGAUUGGGCAAUGAGAGGGGAGAGGGAUUCUUCUAGCAUUCAUUGAAUCUGCACCAGUGAUUACAUUUUCUUAUUUCACUCUUUUGCCUGUUGGUGUGCAGACACUCCUAGGGGGCUCAAAGCAACUUCCAUUUAAAUGGGGGAAAUGCCAGGACACCACAAGUUGAAGUUCAAACAAAAACCUGUUAGCAGAGUAAUUUUGGCAUAAACCCCACUGCAUCAGUCACUCUCCCAACAGGAAACAGAUGGCACUUUCAAAACAGGAUAAUUUGAGGUGGGUUUAUUUACAAAAAAGACGUGGGUGUAGGGAAACCACAAGGAUAGGGCAGCGACCCAAGUUUAGCAGCAGCCAACCAAGGCCAUCAUGAGGCAGGAAGGGAGGAGGGAGGGAAUAGUUAUUGGCAUCCACAGGGAGAGAGCUGUGCCUCGAGGCCACGGUCAGAGACGAUGUAAUCAUUAGUUGAGGGACAAGGCCAGCUUGGACAGGGACAAAAUAAAUAAUCUCCUCUCUCUCUCUGAUCUCCUGUGGGGCUCUGCCAGGAGGCUCAAGACACGGGAGGUGGACCACACAGAUCAGCCUCCUGUGCCAGAGGGCAGGGAGGAGAAGGUGAUGGGGAUUGGUGGGUAGGGGGUUCUGGAGGGGCAAACAAAAGGCAAAUAGCACAGUCCACCCCUCUGACUCUCAGAAGUCACCCUAGGCCUUUGUCCACAGGAAAAUCUUGUCUCCCCAGCACAAGGGACGUAAAGUCCCACCAGCUACUGUGUCAUUAUAGGAUGUAAGCUGGUCAUACACCCAACUGAAAUCACUGGUGUUCUUCAGAUAAAGUAAUGGAUAAAGAGGGAGAAAAAGAAACCAUUGAAGUUCACGAAAUGUGGCUGCUACAUCCCCAGCUCUAUAACUGGCCCCAAGGUCAAGGUAAUCUUAGCUGUCGUCUUACAUUUUCCAUUCUCUGAUCUCCUUAACUUCUACUGGCACUUUUCUGGACAGAGUUCUUUACCUGGGGGUGACCCAAAUCUUCAUUCUUGCAGAUUCUGAGUCCUUGGUUGCCUUAUUUUGGGGGUGGCCACAUUGACCAGGUCUGUUGGAUGAAGGGGAGCUUCAACGAUGCCCCUCAUGUCAGACACUCUCCUCCCACCCCUGACUCAGUAGCAGCCACCCCAUUUCACCCUGGUAGCCGGGAUCAGUCACUCCACCCAGUAUGUGACCCCUUUCUUUGCCUGUUGGUUCAGUGGCAUGUGGAGCCCAAAUGCUGUGGGAUGGUUUCAGUUUCUGAUUCAUCAGAAUCCUGACUAUGUUCCCUGAUAAUGGCUUUUAUUCUGUGGGUACCAGGCUCAUCAGUCUCAAGGUUGUGGGGAAACAGGAAGCAAACAUUUUUCUAGUAGGUUAUUAGGAUAACAGUGAAAGAGACCAUUCACCUCUCCAUCCUUGGCUAUUUUAUUUAUUUUUAUUUACUCGUUUUUGCUUUUGGGGGCCACACCUGUGGCAUACAGAAGUCCCCAGGCUAGGGGUAGAUUCAGAGCUAUACCUGCCGACCUCCACCACAGCCAUAGCAACACCACAUCCAAGCUGCAUCUGCAACCUGGGCUGCAGCUUGUGGUGAUGCCAGAUCCUUAGCCUACUGAGUGAGGCCAGGGAAUGAACCUGCAUCCUCACAUAGACUGCAUCAGGUUCUUAACCUUCUGAGCCACAGUGGGAACUCCAACCUCUUGUUUCUUGAACCCAGGCAUUUUGCCUUUGGGGAAAAUGGUCCCAUACAUUGGCGACCAGUUUAAGGCAUAUACUGUAUUUGGUAGGAUAGCACCCCAAUCUUGCAGGAUGCUCUCAACAGAUAAUCCCACGUCCCAUGAAGUCAGAGUCUUCCAAGUGCUCAACGAGACCAGGUGUAAAUCAUGACUCUCACUGUCGUCAGUGAACAAGCCUGAGAGCUGCUUCAGACCUUCCUGAAAGUCAUCACCACCAUGGUUACAAAGCAACGCAAUGGAUCACGUUGACUGAAGAAAAAUGCACAACCUAAAAGAUGCAAGCUAUGUUUUAUUUGAGAGCCUUACUGAUGACCAUAGCCUCUCAGCUCUGAGGAACUGCUCCAAAGAGCUAAGGGAGGAGCCAGGAUAUAUAGGAGUAUUUGCUGAAAAAAAAAAACAACAGCGUGUAGUUGAACAUCAAAGGAUUACUGUUACAGAAAACAGGCAUCUCAAGUUAAUGAUGUUAGUGCUUUUUUGGGGCCACACCUGAGGCAUAUGGAAGUUCCUGGGCCAGGGAUUAAAUCUGAGGUGCAGCUGUGACCUACGCUACAGCUGUAGCAAUGCUGUCUCCUUAACCCACUGCACUGGGCUGGGGUUUGAACCCAUGCCGCUGCAGAGAUGAUGCCAGAUCCUUAAACCAGCUGUGCCACGGAAGGAACUCUUUUAGUGCUUUUUUAUGAAUGGGAAGAUGCAGGCGUCUGGGCUCACGGAAACGAUUCCUUAAAUAUGCAUCUUUUUUUUUUUUUUCUUUUUUUUUUGUCUUUUUGCUAUUUCUUGGGCCGCUCCUGCGGCAUAUGGAGGUUCCCAGGCUAGGGUCGAAUCGGAGCGUGGCCACCGGCCUACACCAGAGCCACAGCAACGCAGGAUCCGAGCCGCGUCUGCAACCUACACCACAGCUCACGGCAACGCCGGAUCGUUAACCCACUGAGCAAGGCAGGGACCGAACCCGCAACCUCAUGGUUCCUAGUCGGAUUCGUUAACCACUGCGCCACGACGGGAACUCCUAAAU
rnacentral:lncRNA from 1 species